UACGUAGGGACCAAGCGUUGUUCGGAUUCAUUGGGCGUAAAGGGUGCGUAGGUGGCGCCGUAAGUCAGGUGUGAAAUCUCGGGGCUCAACACCGAAACUGCACUUGAUACUGCGGUGCUCGAGUACUGGAGAGGAGAUUGGAAUUUACGGUGUAGCAGUGAAAUGCGUAGAUAUCGUAAGGAAGACCAGUGGCGAAGGCGAAUCUCUGGACAGUUACUGACACUGAGGCACGAAGGCCAGGGGAGCAAACGGG
rnacentral:rRNA from 1 species